rnacentral:rRNA from 1 species
GUCUGUCGAGCUUGCUCACAGGCACAUCAUAUCCAUAACACCUGUGCACUUGUCGGAUGGCUUAGUGAAGACCGCAAGGCUGGAUCUAUCCAUCUACUUUACAUAACAAUUCUGUAACAAAUGUAGUCUUAUUAUAACAUAAUAAAACUUUCAACAACGGAUCUCUUGGCUCUCGCAUCGAUGAAGAACGCAGCGAAAUGCGAUAAGUAAUGUGAAUUGCAGAAUUCAGUGAAUCAUCGAAUCUUUGAACGCACCUUGCGCUCCUUGGUAUUCCGAGGAGCAUGCCUGUUUGAGUGUCAUGAAAACCCUCAACCCUAGAUUGGUUAAAACCUUUCUUUGGUUUGGAUUUGGACGUUUGCCGAUGAUAAGUCGGCUCGUCUUAAAAGUAAUAGCUGGAUCUGUCUCGCGACAUGGUUUGACUUGGCGUAAUAAGUAUUUCGCUAAGGACAUCUUCGGAUGGCCGCGUUGCAGGACUAAAGACCGCUUUCUAAUCCAUUGAUCUUACGAUUAAUAUUCUUGACAUCUGGCCUCAAAUCAGGUAGGACUACCCGCUGAACUUAAGCAUAUCAAUAAGCGGAGGAA